CUAAGGCGAGGCUGAAAAGCGUAGUCGAUGGACAACAGGUUGAUAUUCCUGUACCAGUUAAUUAGUGAUGGAGUGACGAAGAAGGAUAGUAUAUCCCGGGUGCUGGAUGUCCCGGGCUAAGCACAAAGAUGGCAAUGUUGGCAAAUCCGCAUUGUAUUAACAUUGAAGUGUGAAAAUAGGGGAGUGAACGGUUCGCCUAGUAACGAAGUAUAUGACUCCAUGCUUCCAAGAAAAGCUUCUAACUUAAUAAUUAACUGCCUGUACCUAGAACGAACACACGUGGUCAAGGAGAAAAUCCUAAGGCAAGCGAGAUAACUGUAGCUAAGGAACUCUGCAAAAUAACUCCGUAACUUCGGAAGAAGGAGUGCUUAUCUAUGAUAAGCCGCAGUGAAGAGGGAGGGGCAACUGUUUAACAAAAACACAGCUCUCUGCUAAGUCGCAAGACGAUGUAUAGGGGGUGACACCUGCCCAGUGCCGGAAGGUUAAAAGGAGAAGUCAGCGCAAGCGAAGCUUUGAAUUGAAGCCCCGGUGAACGGCGGCCGUAACUAUAACGGUCCUAAGGUAGCGAAAUUCCUUGUCAGGUAAAUUCUGACCCGCACGAAAGGUGUAAUGAUCCCUUCGCUGUCUCGGCUGCAGACUCGGUGAAAUUUUAGUACCGGUGAAGAUGCCGGUUACCCGCAACUAGACGGAAAGACCCCGUGGAGCUUUACUAUAACUUGAUAUUGAAAUUUGGUAUGACGUGUAGAGGAUAGGUGGGAGACUAUGAGACUAGGACGCUAGUUCUAGUGGAGUCAACCUUGGAAUACCACCCUCGUUAUAUUGGAUUUCUAACUU
rnacentral:rRNA from 1 species